AUUACCUCGGUGCCUUGUUAAAGGAUUCUGACUCGGGUCUGGGAUGGGGCCUGAGAUUCUGCAUUUCUCACAAGAUCCAGGAGAUGC
rnacentral:miRNA from 1 species